rnacentral:rRNA from 1 species
UGGGGAAUUUUGGACAAUGGGCGAAAGCCUGAUCCAGCAAUGCCGCGUGUGUGAAGAAGGCCUUCGGGUUGUAAAGCACUUUUGUCCGGAAAGAAAUCCUUGGCUCUAAUACAGUCGGGGGAUGACGGUACCGGAAGAAUAAGCACCGGCUAACUACGUGCCAGCAGCCGCGGUAAUACGUAGGGUGCAAGCGUUAAUCGGAAUUACUGGGCGUAAAGCGUGCGCAGGCGGUUUGCUAAGACCGAUGUGAAAUCCCCGGGCUCAACCUGGGAACUGCAUUGGUGACUGGCAGGCUAGAGUAUGGCAGAGGGGGGUAGAAUUCCACGUGUAGCAGUGAAAUGCGUAGAGAUGUGGAGGAAUACCGAUGGCGAAGGCAGCCCCCUGGGCCAAUACUGACGCUCAUGCACGAAAGCGUGGGGAGCAAACAGGAUUAGAUACCCUGGUAGUCCACGCCCUAAAACGAUGUCAACUAGUUGUUGGGGAUUCAUUUCCUUAGUAACGUAGCUAACGCGUGAAGUUGACCGCCUGGGGAGUACGGUCGCAAGAUUAAAACUUAAAGGAAUUGACGAGGUCAUAGCUGUUUCCU